UACGUAGGGUGCAAGCGUUGUCCGGAAUUAUUGGGCGUAAAGAGCUCGUAGGCGGUUUGUCGCGUCUGCUGUGAAAACCCGAGGCUCAACCUCGGGCCUGCAGUGGGUACGGGCAGACUAGAGUGCGGUAGGGGAGAUUGGAAUUCCUGGUGUAGCGGUGGAAUGCGCAGAUAUCGGGAGGAACACCGGUGGCGAAGGCGGUUCUCUGGGCCUUACCUGACGCUGAGGAGCGAAAGCGUGGGGAGCGAACAGG
rnacentral:rRNA from 1 species